CGACGCCGUGCACUACGUUAACCUCUGAUUCUUUCACAGGGAGCUGUAGGUACCUACCUACGUGUUCGGGAUAGCUGCGGGAAACUGCAGGUAAUACCGAAUAACGUCUCCGGACCAAAGGUGUGAUUCCACCUGGAGAGGGGCCUGCAUCCUAUUAGCUUGUUGGUGGGGUAACGGCCUACCAAGGCGACGAUGGGUAGCGGGUGUGAGAGCAUGACCCGCGUCAUUGGGACUGAGACACUGCCCAGACACCUACGGCUGGCUGCAGUCGAGAAUCUUCGGCAAUGGGCGAAAGCCUGACCGAGCGACGCCGCGUGCGGGAUGAAGGCCUUCGGUUUGUAAACCGCUGUCGUAAAAGAGGAAGUGCAGGGGGGUUAUCCCCUCUGUUUGACCUAUUCUAGGAGGAAGUAAGGUCUAGGUUCGUGCCACCACCCGCGGUAAGACGAACCGUACAAACCUUACUCGGGAUUACUGGGCUUAAAGGGCCGUAAGCUCGCCCGGAAAGUGGGGUGUAAAAACCCCUGGCUUAACCGGGGAAAUGGAUCCAAAAAUACCGGUGCAAAAGGGAAAUAGAGGGUGAGCGGACCUCCAGGGGCAGCGGGGAAAAGCCUUGAUACCUGAGGAACACGGGGG
rnacentral:rRNA from 1 species